GAAGUGAAAUGGAUGGAAUGGUGUGAAGAUGUCAUGGUUUAUGAAAUUAAAACCCUUAGACGCCUUCAAAGGCUUCAGACUACCAGUGCUGACCUUCCAAAGGAAAAGGUUCUUUCGAAGAUUCGGAAUUACCUACAGCUUAUUGGGCGGAGGAUAGACCAAAUUGUCUUAGAGUAUCAGGAACAGCUUUAUCGACAAGAUAGGAUGACUAUGAGAUUAUGGAAGUAUGUUUCUACCUUUUCAAAUUUAUCAGGGGAGAGGCUUCAUCAGAUAUAUUCUAAACUUAAGCAGGAGCAAGAAGAGGAAGCGGGGGUUGGACCCUCCCAUGUGAAUGGCUUUGCAUCUGGUCCAUUGGACAAAGAUGGUGAUGCCAAUUAUUUUCCUCUGA
rnacentral:misc_RNA from 1 species